CAGGCAUGCAGUCGAACGCGAAAGUUCCUUCGGGAAUUAGUAGCGUGGCGAAAGGGGCAGUAAGGCAUAAGUAACUCUACCCUUCGGACCGGGAUAUACGGUGGAAACGCCGGGCAAUACUGGACGUCGUUUCUGGAUGGCAUCAUCCGGCUUCGAAAUGGUCAGCCGCCGAGGGAGGGGCUUAUGUGCUACCAGCUUGUUGGUGAGGUAACGGCUCACCAAGGCUACGACGGCUAGGGGGUGUGAGAGCACGAUCCCCGCCACUGGGACUGAGAACUGCCCAGACUCCUACGGGAGGCUGCAGUCGAGAAUCUUCGGCAAUGGGGGCAACCCUGACCGAGCGACGCCGCGUGGUGGAUGAAGGCCUUCGGGUUGUAAACACCUGUUGGGGGGGAACACGUUUUGAGUGAACCCCUGAGGAAGCACGGGCUAAGUUCGUGCCAGCAGCCGCGGUAAGACGAACCGUGCAAACGUUACUCGGAAUCACUGGGCUUAAAGCGCGCGUAGGCGGCGGCGUAAGUCAGAGGUGAAAUCCCAUCGGCUCAACCGUGGAAUUGCCUCUGAUACUGCGUUGCUUGAGGGGGAACGGGGCAUCCGGAACUUCCGGUGGAGCGGUGAAAUGUGUUGAUAUCGGAAGGAACGCCGGUGGCGAAAGCGGGAUGCUGGGUCUCUUUCUGACGCUGAGUGCGAAAGCUAGGGUAGCGAACGGGAUUAGAUACCCCGGUAGUCCUAGCCGUAAACGAUGAGCACUUGGUAGAAAUCGCUCCGAUGGCGACUUCUGCCGAAGCGAAAGUGUUAAGUGCUCCGGCCUGGGGAGUAUGGUCGCAAGGCUGAAACUCAAAGGAAUUAGACGGGGGGCUCACACCAGCGGGUGGAGCAUGUGGCUUUAUUUCGAAGGCUACCGCAAGAACCUUAUCCUAGACCUGGACUGC
rnacentral:rRNA from 1 species